UCCUUGGAGGUCCAGUGGUUAGGAUUCAGCACUUUCACUGCUGUGGUCCAAGUUCAAUUCCUGGUGGGGGAA
rfam:TPA: Bos taurus chromosome 11, whole genome shotgun sequence.